GUGGCAGUUGUGGGCACGUGGUCAUUGGCUCGUGGCUGUGGUUCUGGUUGGGUGGUCUUUGAUGCCGAUAGAUUUAAAACAGACUAGGCUAGUUGUGUGGAAGAAUAACUAACUUAUGUGGCUUAAAACAAGUAUCUUAACUGCUAUUUAUUUAAUAGACAGUACCGCAAAGUACGCUGGAAACCAGGAAGUACGCAAAUCGACGCUACAAUAUGAAGAGGACAAGUAAGUUUUCACCGGCAUGUCUGAAGUAAAUGGGUCGUCUUGCAACAACAUUGUCUUCAUUGGCUCCGGUUUAACUUAGUGUUGAGGCAGCGUUCCAAUACGCUGCACGAGAACACUAGAGUUGCCAUCCAACGCCGUACAAGUAAUGCUACAAGAAACUGUUGCUGAAGCCAAAAGAAGCGUCGUGAUCUCCCCGGGAAAGGUGCAUUAAUGUCGGACACGCCGUGCUGCUGUGAGUCCAUGGAGGUGCAGAGAACCACAGUCCUCACCGAUGUCCGAAAUACGGCCCACUCUUCUGUGAUUGGUCACACACCCAAGCGCUCCUGAGGACUUCCGUAAACAUAGGUCGGUGUGCUGCAGGGCUCACUUGAAAAUGUGCAAACCUCUUUAUCUGAUGAUUUGGCAUCUUUUAACACCAGAAUAAAACAUUGUAACCACAUUUAGAGGUCAGAAAAGUCAACAAACAAAACAAAAAGGGGAAAUAUAAAAAAGCUGUCAUAUCAAAAUAUAAAGUCAAAAUAUUAAGAGAAAAAUUUUUGCAAUUUUAAACAAUAAACUUGUAGCAUUAUGAUAAAAAAUAAUGUCAUUUUAGUAGCAUCGAGAAUGAGUUUAUAUUUUUUUCUUGAAAUUUAGAUAACUUCUUCGAAAUUAUGAAAGCAUCCUUUAAGUUCUGACGCCCCAGGCCUGGAGGUAAAACAAACCAUAGGUUCCCCAAGAUGGCGGAAGACGUUGUUGGAUUGACGGAGAUGGCAAAAGCAGACAACAGACAGGAAGACAAAGCGGACUACUGCACCUUUCUGGAGGCUCAUGUCCACCAUGCGAGGCUCGGCCAGCUCCAGGAAGAAGUUCUUGUUUUUCUCGUACUCUUCAUCGUCAAUGAUUUUCACGUGAAUGACUUUGCUGCGGAGGACGAUGAGGAGAUGGGCGGGGGGGGGGGUUGACAGGGUAAGGAGAAGGAGAAGGAGAGGUUAAUUUGCCAUGGAAGGACACAGAAGCCGCUCGGAUUAAUAAUCUGCAUGGCGGAAAAGGUUAGAAGGUGAAAGGUCAGUGCGGUUGCUAUGGCGAUGGCACGUGAAGCACAGGCCAGACGCUUGGCGUGAAAUCCAUCAGGACCAAAAAUGAGGUGAGCAGACGCUAAAUGAAAGAAAGUGUUGCUUUCCAAUUCGGUUUUUGGGGGGAUUUGUACCCCCACCCCCAAUCACCACAAGGGAGCAGAUCAAUACCAGCAGGCCCCACCCCCAAAUGAGUGGUCAUCAGGCAAGGUUUCUAUGUGAUGAAGGUUUUUCCAUCGACAUUCAUGAUUGCUAUCAAACAAAACACGUGGAGUCUUCAUAAAUACGUGAUUCAGUGAAGAACCCACAUUCUAAAGUAAUGGUAAUGGUAAUGGUAAUGGUUAAAUUUCAUUUGAACAUGUAUCAGAUUACAAUUGAAUGCAUCCCAUAAUCAGUUCACAGUUCCACAUGUCCGAAAGGAGUAGGAAGAAGCAAAGCUUAUUAAAUCCUACCCCUCCAUCUGGUACUUUUACAAUCACUAACUGUUACAUUUGUUCACUUCCUGCUUUCCUAAUAUAGUUUAAGUAUUUUUAUUUUUUACAUUUUUUGUCCCGUACCACAGUAGGUUUUGAGUUACGGUCCCCUAUGUGAUUGAGUUUGACACCCCUGAAUUGUCAAUCAUUCAAUCAAUUGGUCCUUCAUUACUUUUAUUUUUUCAGUUUAUUAUUUCUCUUUAAACAAGCAAAAAAAAAAAUUCAGAUGACUCGACAAAAUCAACAAAAAAAUUCUGUAAAAUAUUCGAUUUCUGCAGCCCUAUCAUAAACAUAUAGAAAUAUUAUAUUUAUAUAUUUUUAUAAUAUAUAUUAUAAUAUUUUUAUAAUAUAAUGUGUGUAUAUAUAUAUCAUUUAUACCAAAAUUUAUUAUAGUUUAUAAUAUACAAAAUAUAAUUUCAAAUAUAUCAGCGACCCAGUGGUUAGCGCGCAGGCCUCACAGCUAGGAGACCCGAGUUCAAUUCCACCCUCGGCCAUCUCUGUGUGGAGUUUGCAUGUUCUUCCCGUGCAUGAGUGGGUUUUCUCCGGGUACUCCGGUUUCCUCCCACAUUCCAAAAACAUGCUAGGUUAAUUAGCCACUCCAAAUUGUCCAUAGGUAUGAAUGUGAGUGUGAA